rnacentral:rRNA from 1 species
UUCCCAGACUCCUACGGGAGGCAGCAGUGGGGAAUAUUGCACAAUGGGGGAAACCCUGAUGCAGCGACGCCGCGUGGGUGAAGAAGUAUUUCGGUAUGUAAAGCCCUAUCAGCAGGGAAGAUAAUGACGGUACCUGACUAAGAAGCCCCGGCUAACUACGUGCCAGCAGCCGCGGUAAUACGUAGGGGGCAAGCGUUAUCCGGACUUACUGGGUGUAAAGGGAGCGUAGGUGGCGUGCCAAGUCAGGAGUGAAAACCCAGGGCCCAACCCUGGGACUGCUCUUGAAACUGGCAGGCUUGAGUGCUGGAGAGGUAAGCGGAAUUCCUAGUGUAGCGGUGAAAUGCGUAGAUAUUAGGAGGAACACCAGUGGCGAAGGCGGCUUACUGGACUGUAACUGACGUUGAGGCUCGAAAGCGUGGGGAGCAAACAGGAUUAGAUACCCCCGUA